rnacentral:tRNA from 1 species
GAGGCUGUAGCUCAGUGGUAAAGCGCUUGCCUCUCAUGUGCGAGGCACUGAGUUUAAUCCUCAGCACCACA